UACCCCGGGAUAUGGGGAUUGUUCCUAUUUAGUUAGUGAAUAGGGAUGUUUAUGAUGUGUCCUAUAGGAAGGAGUACAUAUGAUAUCCUACAGGUGUGAUAUAUCCUACAGGUGUGAUAUAUCCUACAGGUGUGAUAUAUCCUACAGGUGUGAUAUGUCCUACAGGUGUGAUAUGUCCUACAGGUGUGAUAUGUCCUACAGGUGUGAUGUCCUACAGGUGUGAUGUCCUACAGGUGUGAUGUCCUACAGGUGUGAUGUCCUACAGGUGUGAUAUAUCCUACAGGUGUGAUAUAUCCUACAGGUGUGAUGUCCUACAGGUGUGAUAUCCUACAGGUGUGAUAUCCUACAGGUAGGAGUACAUAUGAUAUCCUAUAGGUAGGAGUACAUAUGAUAUCCUAUAGGUAGGAGUA